rnacentral:rRNA from 1 species
AGAGUUUGAUCCUGGCUCAGAGUGAACGCUGGCGGCAGGCCUAAUACAUGCAAGUCGAACGGCAGCACAGUGGAGCUUGCUCCAUGGGUGGCGAGUGGCGGACGGGUGAGGAAUACAUGGGAAUCUGCCCAGUCGUGGGGAUAACGUAUGGAAACGUACGCUAAUACCGCAUGCGCCCUUCGGGGGAAAGUCGGGGACCGCAAGGCCUGACGCGAUUGGAUGAGCCCAUGUUCGAUUAGCUAGUUGGCGGGGUAACGGCCCACCAAGGCGACGAUCGAUAGCUGGUCUGAGAGGAUGAUCAGCCACACUGGAACUGAGACACGGUCCAGACUCCUACGGGAGGCAGCAGUAGGGAAUAUUGGACAAUGGGGGCAACCCUGAUCCAGCCAUGCCGCGUGAGUGAAGAAGGCCCUCGGGUUGUAAAGCUCUUUGUUGGGGAAGAAAAGCAGUUGGUUAAUACCCGAUUGUUCUGACGGUACCCAAAGAAUAAGCACCGGCUAACUUCGUG